AAUCAACGCUGGCGGCGUGCCUCAGACAUGCAAGUCGAACGCGAAAGGUUCCUUCGGGAACCGAGUAGAGUGGCGUCCGGGUGAGUAACACGUGGGUAAUCUACCUUCGGGUGGGGAAUAACGACCGGAAACGGUCGCUAAUACCGCAUAAUGCAGCGGCACCUAAUGGUGACAGUUGUUAAAGCGGGGGAGUCGCAAGAACCUCGCGCCUGAAGAGGAGCCCGCCGGCGGAUUAGCUAGUU
rnacentral:rRNA from 1 species